CCUACGGGCGGCUGCAGUGGGGAAUAUUGGACAAUGGGCGAAAGCCUGAUCCAGCCAUGCCGCGUGUGUGAAGAAGGCCUUCGGGUUGUAAAGCACUUUCAGUGGGGAAGAAAGCCUUGGGGCUAAUACCCUCGAGGAAGGACAUCACCCACAGAAGAAGCACCGGCUAACUCCGUGCCAGCAGCCGCGGUAAUACGGAGGGUGCGAGCGUUAAUCGGAAUUACUGGGCGGAAAGCGCGCGUAGGCGGUCUGAUAAGCCGGUUGUGAAAGCCCCGGGCUCAACCUGGGAACGGCAUCCGGAACUGUCAGGCUAGAGUGCAGGAGAGGAAGGUAGAAUUCCCGGUGUAGCGGUGAAAUGCGUAGAGAUCGGGAGGAAUACCAGUGGCGAAGGCGGCCUUCUGGACUGACACUGACGCUGAGGUGCGAAAGCGUGGGUAGCAAACAGGAUUAGAUACCCCGGUAGUC
rnacentral:rRNA from 1 species